rnacentral:tRNA from 1 species
AAAGAGAGUGGCAGAAUGGAUUUGCAACUGACUUGAAAUCAGUGUACGGGGGUUCAAUUCCUUCCUUUCUCG